GCCAGAGCUGUAUUAAAAUUCUGGAGGCUUUUUAAAAUUUUUAAUUUGUUCUACUUAGUUGUACAAAUAGACAGUAUAAUACAUUUAGAUAGCAGAAUGCAUUUUAAUUUACUGUACAAAAAUGGAGUGCAACAUUUCAAUUCUCUGGUUGUACAUGGUGUAGUGGGGUAAUGAUGUCCCAUUUCAUUCCACCAUCUUUCCUAUCCUCAUAAUCCCUUCCCACUGUCUCCUUUGCCCAAUCUAAAGUUCUUUCAUUCUUUGUAUGGCCCCUUCUCCAUCAUAGAUCAGCUCCAUAAUCAGAGAAAACACUU
rnacentral:lncRNA from 1 species